rnacentral:lncRNA from 1 species
ACAUACUAAUGAGCAGUGUUUUUGAUACGCAUGCUUAACUUAGUUCUUAUUUAUUUACACAAUAUUGUUAGUAUAAUUAAAUAUAAACAUAUUUAUUGUGAUGAAAAAUGCAGUGUUGUAUAUGUACACUCUAAUAUCAAAUGCAAUGAAAAUACCAAGCUGAUGAUGUGCAUGUUGUUCCUUUUCCAGAACUGCCCUUCACGGACUUCUUGUUUGAAAUUGAGGUGGAAUCAUCAAGCAUCUCUGUGAUUGAUGAGAUGAGGAGAUAUCUGCAGAACAUCACUUUUCCACUUCAAUUAGAUGAGGUGGUUGAAGUAUUAGAUGUGGACAUCACGACAGUGUGCAAUUUCAAUGACAGCGGAUACAAGUGUGUAUGUGAGGACCAGUAUUUCUGGCCGUGUGAUAAAUGCAAAGAAUAUGGGAGCUGUGACGGCAUCACUAACAACACAUGUAGCUGCAUCAAUGAUAUUCCAAGUGACAGACAGUUCUGUCAAACAGUCAGCGAGAUAACAAAUAACACAGCAUGUGGGCAACCACCAUCAGUGAUUCCAGUUCCUGCUGAAUAUCUAACUGAAAUUCAGAUAGAUGUAGAUAAUCCUGCCAUCAUUGAUCAUCUGAGGAACCUUCUGAUGUUUUUCAGUUUGCCCUACACAGUCAGUGACAGCACUAACAUUACAGAAAUCAACAUAACUACUGGUAUGAUCUCUGGCUCUGCUUUGUAA